rnacentral:lncRNA from 1 species
UCCAACGAAAAAUCCACCGGAACGUAGGAAUUCCGAUACCGGGGUCUAGCCGGGUAUUACAUUCUCCCCCCCUUAAGAACAUUCGUCCCCGAAUGUUCCUCUCUAACUCAUACAUACUAAAAACAUAACAUAAAGCACAUAAAGAACAAAAGAAGCUAGAACUAACCUCAAAAGAGAUAGGGGUACUGCUGGAGCAUAGACUCCCUUGUCUCCCAGGUGCACUCUUC